GCAUGUGAACAGCCAUGUGCUAGCCCUUGCUAUACGGAUGAUGUUGGAAACAUGGUUGAAGAAUUAACAGUGAAAAAUUAUGAUAAUACAAACUUUGCUAUAGUUGGAACGUCAAACAGCAGGGAAAGAAUGCAAACUAGGCAGAGUCAGUGGCAGCAUUUUUAUCAUCCUGAAGGUGAAUCACGAAUUGGGAGCUCACGUACCAAUACCUUAUGCAGG
rnacentral:misc_RNA from 1 species